UAAACGACUCUCGGCAACGGAUAUCUCGGCUCACGCAUCGAUGAAGAACGUAGCAAAAUGCGAUACUUGGUGUGAAUUGCAGAAUCCCGUGAACCAUCGAGUUUUUGAACGCAAGUUGCGCCCAAAGCCAUUCGGCCGAGGGCACGCCUGCCUGGGCGUCACGC
rnacentral:rRNA from 3 species